UAGGGAAUCUUCCGCAAUGGACGAAAGUCUGACGGAGCAACGCCGCGUGAGCGAUGAAGGCCUUCGGGUCGUAAAGCUCUGUUGUUAGGGAAGAACAAGUACCGUUCGAAUAGGGCGGUACCUUGACGGUACCUAACCAGAAAGCCACGGCUAACUACGUGCCAGCAGCCGCGGUAAUACGUAGGUGGCAAGCGUUGUCCGGAAUUAUUGGGCGUAAAGCGCGCGCAGGUGGUUUCUUAAGUCUGAUGUGAAAGCCCACGGCUCAACCGUGGAGGGUCAUUGGAAACUGGGGAACUUGAGUGCAGAAGAGGAAAGUGGAAUUCCACGUGUAGCGGUGAAAUGCGUAGAGAUGUGGAGGAACACCAGUGGCGAAGGCGACUUUCUGGUCUGUAACUGACACUGAGGCGCGAAAGCGUGGGGAGCGAACAGGAUUAGAUACCCUGGUAGUCCACGCCGUAAACGAUGAGUGCUAAGUGUUAGGGGUUUCCGCCCGUUAGUGCUGCAGCAACG
rnacentral:rRNA from 1 species